rnacentral:rRNA from 1 species
CCCAGACUCCUACGGGAGGCAGCAGUGAGGAAUAUUGGUCAAUGGGCGAGAGCCUGAACCAGCCAAGUCGCGUGAGGGGAGACGGUCCUAUGGAUUGUAAACCUCUUUUGUCGGGGAGCAAAAAGGCCUCGUGAGGCCACAAGUGAGAGUACCCGAAGAAAAAGCAUCGGCUAACUACGUGCCAGCAGCCGCGGUCAUACGUAGGAUCCGAGCAUUAUCCGGAGUGACUGGGUGUAAAGAGUUGCGUAGGUGGCAUAAUAAGUAGCUAGUGAAAUCUGGUGGCUCAACCAUUCAGACUAUUAGCUAAACUGUUAAGCUCGAGACCGUUAGGGGUAACUGGAAUUUCUAGUGUAGGAGUGAAAUCCGUAGAUAUUAGAAGGAACACCGAUAGCGUAGGCAGGUUACUGGGACGGUUCUGACACUAAGGCACGAAAGCGUAGGGAGCAAACGGGAUUAGAUACCCUAGUA